rnacentral:rRNA from 1 species
AGAGUUUGAUCCUGGCUCAGAAUCAACGCUGGCGGCGUGCCUAACACAUGCAAGUCGAACGGGAAAGGGUCCUUCGGGGCCUGAGUAGAGUGGCGAACGGGUGAGUAACACGUGGAUGAUCUGCCCUGUAGUGGGGGAUAACCCGGCGAAAGCCGGGCUAAUACCGCAUGAGCCGGACGAUGCGAGUCGUUUGGGAAAGGCCCUUCGGGGUCGCUGCAGGAGGAGUCCGCGUCCGAUUAGCUGGUUGGUGGGGUAAGGGCCUACCAAGGCGUCGAUCGGUAGCCGGUCUGAGAGGACGGACGGCCACACUGGGACUGAGACACGGCCCAGACUCCUACGGGAGGCAGCAGUGGGGAAUUUUGCGCAAUGGGGGCAACCCUGACGCAGCAACGCCGCGUGGAGGAGGAAGGCCCUCGGGUCGUAAACUCCUGUCCUUGGGGAAGAAGUAUUGACGGUACCCUUGGAGGAAGCCCCGGCUAACUCCGUGCCAGCAGCCGCGGUAACACGGGGGGGGCGAGCGUUGUUCGGAUUUACUGGGCGUAAAGGGCGCGUAGGCGGCGCCGGAAGUCCUGGGUGAAAGGUGCUGGCUCAACCGGUGACAGGGCCUGGGAAACCACGGUGCUUGAGUGCUGGAGA